AAUUUAUAUCAAAAAAAUUUAUAAGGAGAAGGCAAGGGAGAAACAACAUUGCCUUCAAGAUUUCAACAAGUGCUCUUCAUCUUGAAAAAAAUAAAAAAAAUAGCAAUUAGGAAAAAAAUCAUGAGGCUCGCUAAAAAAGUGAAAGAGCUCAAGAGCAAAAGUGACAAUCAUGAGAGACCCGUCUCUUUAAGAAAGAGUGUUAAGGAGGAUCCAAAGUCUUAUGGGAUGAUGAUUCUCAACCCGAAAAUGCUUCAUGGAAUUUUAAGAGGAACCAACACUUGAGGCAAUCAGUUGAUGUGCAGCGGGAGAAUUUGAUUUCAUCGACAAAUUAUAUGAAGCUGGUUAGACAGCUCAAUAUUUUAGCUGAUUACAUGGUUAGUUUACUUAUUGAUGUUGUUACAGCUAGUUGGGAUCAAGGUAAACUCUCUCAGGUGUUCUCCUCGCAAGAAAUUGAAGAUAUUUUGAAAAGUCCGAUCAGUAAUAGACCCUCUCUAGAUAAGUUAUUUUGGCCGUUGAGCAAGAACAAUUUUUUUAGUAACAUUUGGGUAUUAUCAAGCUUGCAAUAUUAUAGAGAGUGGCCCUGCAAGCAAUAAGAUAUGUUACAAAAUUUGAACAUACCUAGUUCAACCCAAAGUUCAGGACUUUCUUAUAAAGAUCGGCUAAUGAUGGGUAAGAUCGGCUCAUGCAUGUGACGCCGGUGGUGAUGAGGGUUGCUGCUUUAUCGUCAGACUGGCGACGAAUUUUGAACCAGAAUAUUUGCUAUAUGCAUUUUGAAUCUGUGAUUAUAGAGAGAAUAAUUAUUCUUGUUUUUUCAUUUUUAGUUUUUUUUCUAAUCUCUGCUUUAAAUUUAUUAUUAAAUUUGUAUGUUUUUGAAUCGGUGAACAGACCGAGCCAAACCAGAAAAAUCCGACAUUUUUGAUUUACCGAAUCGAAAAAACCGUAGACAAAAUUAUAAAUUUUGGAUUUUAAUUUUAUAGGGGUGAUUUGGUUUGGUUUGAUUUUGGGAAUUUGCACACCGAACCGGACUAUGCUCACCCAUGUAGAAGGAUCGACCCGAAUAAAAUAGUCUUCAACAACUCCAGAAUGGCGUUUCCUUUUAUGUUUAGUUGCAUUCCAUCCAUGAUCUCCAAGGUUGUUGUUGCUCAAAGUCGGCAUCCCCAUCAGGUGGUUGUAGCGUUUUGGUAGUCUCCUCCCCAACCUUCCAUCUAAAAUCAAUGUCGACGAAGUAGUUUCUAUUGAUAACAAAUAUCUAUUAAAAGCACUGUUUGCAGAGACUCGUCUUGUUUAGUGCUUCAGUGUGGAGUUUGUGUGUUGAAUGGUGUGAUAUAUACUGGAAUUGCCGAAGCUAUGGUUGUCAGGUGUGGUUUACUACUAUCUGCUCUUAUCAGCUGCUCGUCUAUAGUUGUGGAAUAUGAUGCAAAGGACAUUGUUCGUCAUAUUAUUGUUGACAGUUGUUUAGCCCUAGCUAGAGCUAGAGCUGCAGUUUUAAUCAAGUUGCCCAUGCAAUUUCUAAGUGGGGUAUUUUCUUCAGUAGAUACUGCAUUUUUUAUGGUAAAAAUUCUCUUUCAAUUAAUGAACUUAUUAAUUCAGUUCUUUAAUUAGUAUAAUGCAAUUUCACUUCCAAAAGAGCUACAAAUUGUCCAAUAAAAUGUUAUCACUUUAGCUCCAAUUUAUUUAUAUAAUGUUCCAGCCACUCCAAAAAUAGCACAAAAAGAGAGAUUAAUAUUAUUGACCUAGUGAUAAACCACUAACACCUUCCUUUCUCGUUUGGGCUCAACGCACUUGGAAAACGCUCUAGCAACGGAAAACCGACUGCUAUAGUAAGGUAUCGAGAGAGCUUCUUUCUGCUUCUUAUUUCAUAUGGAUAUAACCAAGUGU